UACGUAGGUGACAAGCGUUGUUCGGAAUUACUGGGCGUAAAGGGCGCGUCGGCGGCCUUCUAAGUCGAACGUGAAAUCCCCGGGCUCAACCCGGGAACUGCGUCCGAUACUGAAAGGCUUGAAUCCGGGAGAGGGAUGCGGAAUUCCAGGUGUAGCGGUGAAAUGCGUAGAUAUCUGGAGGAACACCGGUGGCGAAGGCGGCAUCCUGGACCGGCAUUGACGCUGAGGCGCGAAAGCCAGGGGAGCAAACGGG
rnacentral:rRNA from 1 species